AUGGCUCGAUGUUACGGCCGACUGAGUGAGGGUGCUCAACGAAGCCGUCUACCAUCCCCGAUUCGUCUCACAGUUUUAGAGGAGGCCGCAUCGGAUGUAAUUAAUGAACUCGGUGGAUUCACAGAUGCCUUCAGUGUAUGGGUAGAACAGACACCAAAAGAAGCAACAAAACAAACUGGCGAAACUCUGACCAUCAACUGUGUUUUAAAAAAUACUACCUGUGAGCUGCUUAGCACACAUUGGUACCGCCAAAGACCCGGUCAAACCAAUAACGAAACCUUAUCGAUUGGAGGACGAUAUGCGGAAUCUCUCAACAAGCCAACAAACUCCUCUUCGCUGCAGAUCAGGAAUCUAAUUGUUGAAGAUACAGCCACGUAUUUCUGCCGUGCUCACCACAGAUUCGCAUUGUUUCUCAGAGAUCCUACCGUUGAAGAAAUGUGCACAAACAAAACUGCCACACUGGUCUGUGAAGUGAUCGCCACAACUCCAGCUGAGGUUUCCAUAUCUUGGAGAGUGGGUGGAAAGGAAAGGCCUGAUGGUGUUCAAACAGGACAAGCAACAAAGUUCGGAAGCCAAUACCUGACAGUCAGCCGUUUGACCAGCAGCGUUGCGGAGUGGGACAGCGGGGUAGAAUACUCCUGCUCGGUGCAGGACAAUCAAUUAGAUACUCCGUUAUCAAAACGGACACGAAACACUAAAGAAGAAUGCCUUAUGGCUGACAUUAAUGCCAUCAUAAAAAAGCCUUCCUUUGAAGAGAUUUGGAUGCUUCGGAGGGCAACAAUUGUGUGCGAAGUGGUUUACACUGAUUUACAGAAUGUCACAGUCUCCUGGCAAGUAAAUGGGAGUCGGAGAAUGAACGGAGUAGAGACUCGCGGUCCAGAGAGGAGGGGAAGUAAAUUCGUCAUCAUUAGCAAACUGAAGAUCAGUAUGGAGGAGUGGAACAGUGGAACCGAAUACCUGUGUGUCGUAGAAGACCGUGAUCUGCCAACACCACUGACAAUCGCCACCCAAAAAAACAAGGUUACUGAAAUGCACCGCCCGAAAGCCUACCUUUUGUACCCAUCAGCUGAGGAGAUUCAAGCCGAGGAAGCAGCUACCCUAAUUUGCCUGGUGACCGGUUUUUAUCCGGAAGAUAUAUACGUCGGCUGGAUGGCUAGUGACAACCUUUUGCAUUCGGGAUUCUCCAUCCAGUUUAACAGCGAUAAGGAAAACGGCUCUAACUCGGUUACCAGCAAACUGAGGAUCAGCGCAGAAGACUGGGAGAAGGGAACCACCUAUAGCUGUUUGGUUGGACAUCCGUCGCUACAAACAAAUAUAGUCAGAAGUAUUAAUAAAUCCCAGGCAAUCUGUGUAACUCUGGAAGACUUGGACGACUAUUCAGGCGAUGAAGAAAGAUUCGAAAACCUGGAUGAAGUUGUUAGUUCAUCGUCAGCGCUCAUCACGUUUGUGAUCCUCUUUAUGAUGAGUAUGAUGUACAGCGCAUUUACAACGACUGUUAAGUGCCUCGCGAGAGUGAUUAACUCUAUAGAGGACGUGAAAACAAGAAGCAUUGAAGAUCGAGCAGUAGUUGUGGUCAAUAUGCAUUUAAGUAAGGCAUUUGUCAAGGUUGCCCAUAGUAGGCUCAAUAAGACUGUCAGGAUUGAGGCGGUCGUGGGACAGUUGCUGCAUAAAUUGGAACUGGCUUGCCCACAGGAACAGAAUUGUGGCAGUAAAUGGAGCGCAUUCCAGCUGGAGUUCCGUGAAGUAGAGAAUGCUGAAACAGACGCAGCUCCAGCUUUUGUUUUAAUGGACCCGAAGCCAAAUGAUGACAUCCGACUAACGGUGAUUGUCCCAAUCUGGUCAGAAGUAAGCAGGAAAACAAUUGGGAAAUGCUUUGCUCACUGCGGUUUCAAAAACUCAGCCGUGGAGACGGCCGGGAGUGAAAAUGAAACGAUCUGGCUAAUUUAA